GUUUGGCCUUCCACCGUACGGAAAUCUACGCAGAAUGAUGUCUUUUACGCUUUUGUCAAAGGCUGUCAAGGUCAAACGAUUAGCGUUGCUGCUUCUUUUUGAUUUCAACCGGUUCUAUCACAACUGAUGGCGGACUGUCGUUUGUGCGUGGCGUCGGGUUGGACUCGCAGCGGACAAGGUCCACGUGAAUAUAUGCAUGUAUAUGCAUUGAAUCAGUGAAAUCUGUCAGCCGUGCAUCCCUCGCUUUCUUUGUGUCCGUUUCGUACACGUUCCUCAAUAGAACGCGUAUCCGAAGAAUGAUGCGCAUAGGGACAUAUCAAUGGAGACGAACAAAGCGGUGUCCAUCUGAUCGUCAUUCCAUGGGAAUGCCCGCACAGCCUCCAGAACUUGCUUUCCUUGAUUUUUCAUUGUUCGUCCGCCUUUGCGUGAUGCAGAAGUUGUGCUGCUGUCACGUCCCAUCUCCGGAGUCGUUUUGUCUGUGGUUUUAAAAGGCAAUUGCCCCCUCCGUCCUGUUUGUCUCUCUCGCUUGGACACGGUGGCAGUAGAGACAGAUCACGUUCUCCAGAAAUGCGCUCGAUUCUUCUCUUUCUUCCUCUAACUUCCUCUCCCGCCUUUAGCCCUGUCUUUGUGGCAAGAGAUAGUCCUUCGGCGCAGCCGAGCGUUUCAGAAUCCCUAGUGCCUUUCUCCUGGGCUUCUUGCCAUUCUGUCUUGCCGAUUUCUGUUCUAAGCGAGCCUUCCCAACUUGUUUUUAGUAUCCGUACACUCCCAGGUUUCUGUUCCAAAUUCUCAGAGUUCUCGUCACCCUCUUUCGUUGACUUCUGCGCAAAGUGUCGGUGAAUGCUGGCAGAAGGUGACAAGUGACACUCUGGGCAGGCGAGAUCCCAGCGCGACUUCCCGUGGGGGCACAGAAGAGCUGCGACACUCCAUCGACAGUGGGGAGAUAUUGUUAGGCUCUGCGUCCCCUGAAAACGAUUUCCUUUCUCUAUUUGUGCAGUGUCUGCAGAGGAAAUCGAGGAAAAAGAGGGACAUCUGGCUCUCCGUUGCCCGCGACGGAACGGCGUCUCGGUUUCCUCUUCGUCUUCACCAGAUGAUGACGAUAACGUGGACGAAAUAUAUGUCCUUCGCUCGGGAGAAAAGUUCGUUUUCCUGCCCCCCCAGACUACCUCUCUGAUAUCAGCAGAAGAUGAAAAGGACGACAGCAUCGAGUUGGUUCCACGAGUAGCCCAUCCGCGUUUCUCUUUCCUCCCCUUUGCCUCUGCUGGAGCUUGAGACAUAGAGGAUGAUCACGUCGGAUCGGCCAUGUUUCGCAACAAAGCAUGCACCACAGACGCAGGCAGGCGCCACCGCCACAGCGAGUCUCUAUACACCGCAGACAGGAGUACUCGCUUCAUGAUUUUCGUCGCCUGUGCAACUCGCGCGGCGACUCGAGGCCCGAGAAUGGCGUUUAAAAGGUGCAUGUGCUUGUCCGCCAAUUGGUAAGCCAGAAGGAGGAAGCGAACAACGCAAGCCGCUUGGACGACGGGCGCAAUGGAGAGAAACGCGGCGUCUGGUGACGAUAGACAAAGCUGCAGCAGAUACACGGGUAGACUGGCGGAGGGCGGACAGGGAGGCAGAAGCAAAAGGGAAGCAGGCGGUCCAUCAGCGAACGUGCCAACUGACAGAGGGGAAGAAGGACGACAAGGACAGGACGAAACGGAAGCAGAAAGCGACGAACAUCGCAGCAGGACUCCUCCGGAAGCCAAGCAGCACCGUAGCGUCUCCGGUACAGCUUGCAAGCACCCAAGAGCCACUGAAGGAAAAGAAAGGAAUUCGCGUGGGUCAGCAGGUUGUCCUGUUCUAUGCAGCUCCACGCGUACAGUUCCAGCCAGCCUGUCGGCGGCCAGGGGCGGUAGGAGACGGAGGCGCCAGGGGGCUGCGCAGGUUUCUCCAAGCGAGGCAACGUCCCUGUUUGGCAUUUCUCUAAAAGGCGUCUCCCCUCGGAAGUAGGGAGACCUUUCCUCGUCUCGUGUGCUCCAUGCUGAGGCUUCUCUGCAGCGCAGCCGUCAGAGUCGCUCCUCUUUUCAGGAACAUUGGUCCCGUUGGAGGGGAGUGAAUGAGAGGCAGAGGAAAGAGAGGACCGAGGAGACCCCACCGACGACGAGGACGAAAAGCGAGAGAGGGAACAAGGAGAGGACGACGGAGUGCUGUCUUCCUCGGAGAAGAAACUCUCUGUCUGGUACUGGCAGCAUGCACAGCAACCGGCCGACAGAUCUACAGGGUGUGCAAGUAUUGAACGCCGAAAACAGCCGCGCAUAUCGUUUUUUUGAGUGUGAGAGACAGAGGCGAAACUGGGGGUGUCGCAUUCUUCGUAAAAAGCUUCGCUGACGGGAUGGUGCAUGUGAAAAGACAAACAGGAAUCGUUUCUUGCGAGUCUCUCUGAAAUGCGAUGGGCUUUUUUAUCAUCCGCGUUCGUUUCCUGACAUCGUGACAGCAUGGCCAAGUCAUCUUCUGGUGAUUCGUGUAAAUCCCGAAGUCGAUAACCAUCGCCUUGUCCUUGCGUUACUCGUGUGAACGCCUCAUAUCCCUCCUCUCCUUUUGGGAAGUAAAGGGACAUGUCUGCGGCGUUUUCUCGUUCUUUCCUUGCUUCGAUCUCCUCGGUUUCCGUAAACACGAUGGCUUGAACCACGACACCUGCGCAGUCCAGAUGGGGUACGAUCUCGAGUUGUUUGUAGGCAAUCGCAAUGCAAACACACGCUAGACGAAUGAGAGGAGACAAGGGAUACGGAAAUUGCAUGUCAUGCUCUGUUUUCAUUCUUUCACUCGCCUUCAACACACAUCCACUUGACCGCAAAGCCGUGGAACCACUGUCAGUUCUUGUUUCUCGAGAACUCGGCGUUUUCUGACUGCUGGCUGGCAGCCUGGGAGAGUCACCGUUCUCGGAGUUUUCCUGUUCAGCUGGAGAGACACCCCAGAGAAGCCGUAGAACCAUCCUUUCCUUGUCCCUUGAAGACGUUAACGACGAAGCGAAACAACUGGAAUGAGAACUGCUGCCAGACGUAUCAUCGACAGAG
rnacentral:lncRNA from 1 species